rnacentral:rRNA from 1 species
UGGGGAAUUUUGCACAAUGGGGGAAACCCUGAUGCAGCGACGCCGCGUGAUUUAGAAGGCCUUCGGGUUGUAAAAAUCUUUUCUAUGGGAAGAAAAUGACAGUACCAUAGGAAUAAGGACCGGCUAAUUACGUGCCAGCAGCCGCGGUAAUACGUAAGGUCCGAGCGUUGUCCGGAAUCAUUGGGCGUAAAGGGUACGUAGGCGGGUAAGCAAGUUAGAAGUGAAAUCCUAUAGCUCAACUAUAGUAAGCUUUUAAAACUGCUCAUCUUGAGGGAUGGAAGGGAAAGUGGAAUUCCUAGUGUAGCGGUGAAAUGCGCAGAUAUUAGGAGGAAUACCGGUGGCGAAGGCGACUUUCUGGCCAUAACCUGACGCUGAGGUACGAAAGCGUGGGUAGCAAACAGG